AGAGUUUGAUCCUGGCUCAGGACUAACGCUGGCGGCGUGCCUAAUACAUGCAAGUCGAACGGGAUUAUAGAUUUAGCUUGCUAAGCCUAUAAUCUAGUGGCGGAUGGGUGAGUAACACGUGGGAAUCUGCCUUUUGCUGGGGGAUAACAGUGGGAAACCAUUGCUAAUACCGCAUAAUUCCUUCGGGAGAAAGGUGCAAUUGCAUCGGCAAAAGAUGAGCCCGCGUCCCAUUAGCUAGUUGGUGAGGUAAUGGCUCACCAAGGCGACGAUGGGUAACCGGCCUGAGAGGGUGACCGGUCACACUGGGACUGAGAUACGGCCCAGACUCCUACGGGAGGCAGCAGUAGGGAAUCUUCCGCAAUGGGCGCAAGCCUGACGGAGCGACGCCGCGUGAGUGAAGACGGCCUUCGGGUUGUAAAGCUCUGUUCUUGAGGAAGAAUAAGCUAAGGAGUGGAAAACCUUAGUGAUGACAGUACUCAAGGAGCAAGCCCCGGCUAACUACGUGCCAGCAGCCGCGGUAAAACGUAGGGGGCAAGCGUUGUCCGGAAUUACUGGGUGUAAAGGGCGCGUAGGCGGUUUCUUAAGUCAGGUGUGAAAGACCGAGGCUUAACUUCGGGUGUGCACUUGAAACUGGGGAGCUUGAGUGUGGGAGAGGAAAGUGGAAUUCCCGGUGUAGCGGUGAAAUGCGUAGAUAUCGGGAGGAACACCAGUGGCGAAGGCGGCUUUCUGGCCCACAACUGACGCUGAGGCGCGAAAGCUGGGGGAGCAAACAGGAUUAGAUACCCUGGUAGUCCCAGCUGUAAACGAUGGAUACUAGGUGUGGGGGGAUCGACCCCCUCCGUGCCGCAGUUAACGCAAUAAGUAUCCCACCUGGGGAGUACGGCCGCAAGGCUGAAACUCAAAGGAAUUGACGGGGGCCCGCACAAGCGGUGGAGCAUGUGGUUUAAUUCGAUGCAACGCGAAGAACCUUACCGGGAUUUGACAUCUCCUGUUACCCUUUGAAAGAAGGGGUUCUCUUCGGAGACAGGAAGACAGGUGGUGCAUGGUUGUCGUCAGCUCGUGUCGUGAGAUGUUGGGUUAAGUCCCGCAACGAGCGCAACCCCUAUCUUUAGUUGCUAACACUUUUGGUGAGCACUCUAGAGAGACUGCCGGUGAUAAACCGGAGGAAGGUGGGGACGACGUCAAAUCAUCAUGCCCUUUAUGUCCCGGGCUACACACGUGCUACAAUGGCCUAUACAGAGGGAAGCGACCUGGCGACAGGCAGCGGAUCCCUUAAAAUAGGUCUCAGUUCGGAUUGCAGGCUGCAACUCGCCUGCAUGAAGCAGGAAUCGCUAGUAAUCGCAGGUCAGAAUACUGCGGUGAAUACGUUCCCGGGCCUUGUACACACCGCCCGUCACACCACGAAAGUCUGUCACGCCCGAAGCCGGUGGCCUAACCGCAAGGAGGGAGCCGUCGAAGGCAGGAUAGGUGAUUGGGGUGAAGUCGUAACAAGGUAGCCGUA
rnacentral:rRNA from 1 species